rnacentral:rRNA from 1 species
CCUACGUGCGGCUGCAGUGGGGAAUAUUGGGCAAUGGGCGCAAGCCUGACCCAGCAACGCCGCGUGAAGGAAGAAGGCCCUCGGGUUGUAAACUUCUUUUAUUCGGGACGAAACAAAUGACGGUACCGAAUGAAUAAGCCACCGCUAACUACGUGCCAGCAGCCGCGGUAAGCCGUAGGUGGCAAGCGUUAUCCGGAUUUACUGGGUGUAAAGGGCGUGUAGGGGGGAGAGCCAGUCAGGCGUGAAAUUCCAGGGCUCAACCCUGGAAAUGCGUUUGAAACCGUUCGUCUUGUGUGAUGGAGAGGCAGGCGGAAUUCCGGGUGUAGCGGUGAAAUGCGUAGAUAUAUGGAGGAACACCAGUGGCGAAGGCGGCCUGCUGGAGAUUAACUGACGCUGAGGCGCGAAAGCGUGGGGAGCAAACAGGAUUAGAUACCCGAGUAGUC